rnacentral:rRNA from 1 species
GUGGGGAAUAUUGGGCAAUGGGCGAAAGCCUGACCCAGCAACGCCGCGUGAAGGAAGAAGGUUUUCGGAUCGUAAACUUCUAUCCUUGGUGAAGAUAAUGACGGUAGCCAAGAAGGAAGCCCCGGCUAACUACGUGCCAGCAGCCGCGGUAAUACGUAGGGGGCAAGCGUUGUCCGGAAUGAUUGGGCGUAAAGGGCGCGUAGGCGGCCCGGUAAGUCUGAAGUGAAAGUCCUGCUUUUAAGGUGGGAAUUGCUUUGGAUACUGUCGGGCUUGAGUGCAGGAGAGGUAAGCCGAAUUCCCGGUGUAGCGGUGAAAUGCGUAGAGAUCGGGAGGAACACCAGUGGCGAAGGCGGCUUACUGGACUGUAACUGACGCUGAGGCGCGAAAGUGUGGGGAGCAAACAGGAUUAGAUACCCUGGUAGUCC